GUUUUGUGUAGACUUGUUCAGGAUAAGAACGACCUCCACUCUCUCUCUCUCUCUGUCUCUCCAAGUCUCUUGCAUUGCUGCUUCUCUUUAUAGAAGAACUCCAUUUUCUCUUGCAGCUACCUUGAAUUCUCCAAAGCCUUUUCUUUCUUUGAAGUUAUUAUAUAGCUUUACAUUCUCUCUCAUUAGGAGCAAAACACACGCCUUUACUCAAUAGAAGCAGAGUGCUCUGUUUUUCAUAAGCUCUAUUCAAGCUGGCAAUCGAAAAUCAGGAAACCACUAUCAAGCCUAGAAACAGGAGAAUCAUGGGUGCUGGAGGACCUGAGGACGACGACAACAGGUGGCCGCAAUGGCUAAGGCCUUUGUUAAAGGAGAGCUUCUUUGUUCAAUGCAAGUUGCAUGCUGAUUCCCACAAGAGUGAAUGCAA
rnacentral:misc_RNA from 1 species